rnacentral:rRNA from 1 species
UACGUAGGCAGCAAGCGUUGUUCGGAAUUACUGGGCGUAAAGAGUGUGUAGGCGGUGCUCUAAGUUCGGUGUGAAAUCUCCCGGCUCAACUGGGAGGGUGCGCCGAAAACUGGAGUGCUGGAGCGCGGGAGAGGAAAGCGGAAUUCCUGGUGUAGCGGUGAAAUGCGUAGAUAUCAGGAGGAACACCGGCGGUGUAGACGGCUUUCUGGACCGUAGCUGACGCUGAGACACGAAAGCGUGGGUAGCAAACAGG